rnacentral:rRNA from 1 species
UACGUAGGUGACAAGCGUUGUCCGGAUUUACUGGGCGUAAAGAGCGCGCAGGCGGUCGAUCAAGUCGAGUGUGAAAGCCCCCGGCUCAACUGGGGAGGGUCAUUCGAUACUGAUCGACUCGAAGGCAGGAGAGGGUAGUGGAAUUCCCGGUGUAGUGGUGAAAUGCGUAGAGAUCGGGAGGAACAUCAGUGGCGAAGGCGGUCUGCUGGGCCGUUGCUGACGCUGAUACGCGAAAGCGUGGGGAGCAAACAGG